rnacentral:rRNA from 1 species
UACGUAGGCAGCAAGCGUUGUUCGGAGUUACUGGGCGUAAAGGGUGUGUAGGCGGUUGUUUAAGUUUGGUGUGAAAUCUCCCGGCUUAACUGGGAGGGUGCGCCGAAUACUGAAUAACUCGAGUGCGGGAGAGGAAAGUGGAAUUCCUGGUGUAGCGGUGAAAUGCGUAGAUAUUGGGAGGAACACCAGUGGCGAAGGCGGCUCACUGGACCGGUACUGACGCUGAUGCGCGAAAGCGUGGGGAGCAAACGGG